rnacentral:misc_RNA from 1 species
UUUCCGUAGGUGAACCUGCGGAAGGAUCAUUCAUAAUAAGUGUUUUAUGGCACUUUUUAAAUCCAUAUCCACCUUGUGUGCGAUGUCAUGGUUGAUUUUUCUCUCGAGAGGAUCAGCCCCAAACAUCAACUAUAUCUCAACUCUUUGUCUGAAAAAUAUUAUGAAUAAAACAAUUCAAAAUACAACUUUCAACAACGGAUCUCUUGGCUCUC